CAGAGGCCUGGCACAGGGUGCCCAGAGCAGCUGUGGCUGCCCCUGGAUCCCUGGCAGUGCCCAAGGCCAGGGGCUUGGAGCACUCUGGGAUAGUGGAAGGAGGUGGGAUGGGCUGGGCUUUAAAGUCCCUUCCAAGGCAAUCCAUGCUGUGAUUCUGUGAUUUCACAAUCCUCAGCUCUGAGGAGCCACAGCUCUUUGUCACCACACAAAGAAAACGCUUGGGCAGGACUCACCUGAGACUGUAAGCUCUGGUGGGCAGAUGUCCGGAGACAAAGAAGGCACAGGAAAAGGAUUUUCACGUCUAUUCUAGAAAAACAAGACAAAACAGCACAGACAGUUGCUAAGAAGAAUCUGUUGCUGUAAAUAAUGAGCAGGAGAUAGAGGAGUUCAAGGCAGAGCCAUGAGGGUGCUACAUACACCUCUUGUGCAGGUCUGCAAAGCAAGGUGUUUUGUGAAUGGUCUUGUAUGAAAGGAACAUCCAGCCAGCCUCUUUUGAAGGAAAUUUGUGUGGAAGAGAGCAGAAAGGACACCCAGCAUGGCACCAGUCCAGGAGGGGAAUGACAAAUGCACACAAUGGAGCUGCAGACCCUGAGGGCUGUGUGGUUAAACCCUGUCCAGCCAUUCACAGCUCAAGCACUUCUCUGCAAACACAAUGUGGAGCUUGGCUUUGCAGGAGGAAUGAGCCUGGCUUAUCAUUAGAGUAGGAGCAGGAAUGGGCUGCGUAGGAAUGCUGGGGAUUCAUCUUCUUCAGAGGGCUUGAAGAAUAAAGAGUUGUGCCUGCC